CAUGAACAUGUGGUGGGGCAGGGCUGUGGGGGAGGCAGAGAAGUCAAUCCUAGGGGCUCCAAAGGCUCUCAGGAGGUGGCCCAGAGCUGUCUGCUCUCUUUGGUCAGGCAGGAGCACCGAGCGCCCAGCUGGGCUCAUUCAUAUCUGCUGGUUGAAUGGAAUGAAGCCCACCCUGACUCGCAGCCUGGGAGGCCUUCUCCCUGCCUGAAGCCAGAUUGUGAGUCCUGGUUCAGAACUGACAGAUGAGAGAAUGAAUGAGGAGACCUUCAGCUGACACCAUUUAUCAAGUGCUCCUCACGCAUUGCCUGGUGCUGAAAGCUGUCGUUUUCCACGCAUGACCUCUACCCCCAACCCUCUCCUCGCUGAAGGAUGGAGACCCAGGUGACAGAAGGCAGAGAGAGCACUGGGAUGGAGAGUCCUGAGACAUGCAUUUGAGAUUCUGCUCUGCCAGUUCCUAUUUGUGGAAUAUCUGUCUCUAAAUGGGAAUAUCUAUCUUACAAGGUUACUGACGUGAUGAAAUGAAAAUUGUGCACAUGUUUUAUCACUCCUACUGGAUCUGAGCAAUUUGAGGGCAGGAUGCUGUCGGAUUCAGCCUGCACGAGGCUUACCCCAAAGGGGAAUUUGGACAUAGACUCGCACACAUGGGGAACGCCUUGUGAAGAUGAAGGAGGAGAUCAGGGUGAUGCUGCUACACCCCACGGAACACCAAGGAUUGCCAGUGAGCCGCCAGAAGCCGGGGAGAGGCUGGAACAGAUUCUUCCUCACAGCCCUCAGAAGGAACCAAGCCUGCUGAUGCCCUGAUCUCAGACUCCUGGCCCCCAGAGCU
rnacentral:lncRNA from 1 species